AUUGAACGCUGGCGGCAGGCCUAACACAUGCAAGUCGAGCGAGCGGCGGACGGGUGAGUAAUGUAUGUGAAUCUCCCCGAUGGAUGGGGAUACCUCCUGGAACCGGUUGCUAAUACCGCAUACCAUCGGCUGAGCCCAGAUGGGAUUAGCUAGUAGGUGGGGGAAAGGCUCACCUAGGCCACGAUCCCUAGCUGGUCUGCGAGGAUGAGCAGCCACACUGGGACUGAGACACGGGCCAGACUCCGACGGGAGGCAGCAGUGGGGAAUAGUGCGCAAUGGGCGAAAGCCGGAUGCAGCAAUGCCGCGUGUAUGAAGAAGGCCUUAGGGUUGUAAAGUACUGUCAGCGGGGAGGCGUUACCCGAAGAAGAAGCACCGGCUAACUCCGUGCCAGCAGCCGCGGUAAUAC
rnacentral:rRNA from 1 species